rnacentral:rRNA from 1 species
ACUCCUACGGGAGGCAGCAGUGGGGAAUAUUGCACAAUGGGGGAAACCCUGAUGCAGCCAUGCCGCGUGUGUGAAGAAGGCCUUCGGGUUGUAAAGCACUUUCAGUAGGGAGGAAGGUAGUGUAGUUAACACCUGCAUUAUUUGACGUUACCUACAGAAGAAGCACCGGCUAACUCCGUGCCAGCAGCCGCGGUAAUACGGAGGGUGCGAGCGUUAAUCGGAAUUACUGGGCGUAAAGCGCAUGCAGGCGGCCUGUUAAGUCAGAUGUGAAAGCCCGGGGCUUAACCUCGGAAUUGCAUUUGAAACUGGCAGGCUAGAGUCUUGUAGAGGGGUUAGAAUUUCAGGUGUAGCGGUGAAAUGCGUAGAGAUCUGAAGGAAUACCAGUGGCGAAGGCGGCCCCUGGACAAAGCUGACGCUCAGAUGCGAAAGCGUGGGAGCAAACAGGAUUAGAUACCCCUGGUAGCGACUGA